GACGAACGCUGGCGGCGUGCUUAACACAUGCAAGUCGAACGGAAAGGCCCUGCUUUUGUGGGGUGCUCGAGUGGCGAACGGGUGAGUAACACGUGAGUAACCUGCCCUUGACUUUGGGAUAACUUCAGGAAACUGGGGCUAAUACCGGAUAGGAGCUCCUGCUGCAUGGUGGGGGUUGGAAAGUUUCGGCGGUUGGGGAUGGACUCGCGGUUUAUCAGCUUGUUGGUGGGGUAGUGGCUUACCAAGGCUUUGACGGGUAGCCGGCCUGAGAGGGUGACCGGCCACAUUGGGACUGAGAUACGGCCCAGACUCCUACGGGAGCCAGCAGUGGGGAAUAUUGCACAAUGGGCGGAAGCCUGAUGCAGCACCGCCGCGUGCGGGAUGACGGCCUUCGGGUUGUAAACCGCUUUCGCCUGUGACGAAGCGUGAGUGACGGUAAUGGGUAAAGAAGCACCGGCUAACUACGUG
rnacentral:rRNA from 1 species